UACGUAGGUGGCAAGCGUUGUCCGGAUUUACUGGGCGUAAAGAGCGCGCAGGCGGUCGUUCAAGUCGCGUGUGAAAGCCCCCCGGCUCAACUGGGGAGGGUCACGCGAUACUGAUCGACUCGAAGGCAGGAGAGGGUAGUGGAAUUCCCGGUGUAGUGGUGAAAUGCGUAGAUAUCGGGAGGAACACCAGUGGCGAAGGCGACUACCUGGCCUGUUCUUGACGCUGAGGCGCGAAAGCUAGGGGAGCAAAUGGG
rnacentral:rRNA from 1 species